CGCGUUGGGCGGUCUCAUGGCUCUGUGUCUUGCUUCAACAGUGUUUGGACGGAACAGACCCGAGGACUCCCUUUCUUCCAACCUCAAACUGCUCUCUGAUUUCUCCACUUGCAAUCUCCGGGACCAAGAUCUCCGAACCAAGAGAAGAUCUCUGCUAUCUCCUGCUACUGGAGCCAGCUAACACCAUUUUUUGUGGUUAGCACCUUACUGCCGAGCAACCAUGAGCUCCCAGAUUCGUCAGAAUUAUUCCACCGAUGUGGAGGCAGCCGUCAACCGCCUGGUCAAUUUGCAUCUGCGGGCCUCCUACACCUACCUCUCUCUGGGCUACUAUUUCGAUCGCGACGAUGUGGCUCUGGAAGGCGUGGGCCACUUCUUCCGCGAAUUGGCUGAGGAGAAGCGCGAGGGCGCCGAGCGUCUCUUGAAGAUGCAAAACCAGCGUGGCGGGCGCGCUCUCUUCCAGGACGUGCAGAAGCCAUCUCAAGAUGAGUGGGGUACAACCCGGGACGCAAUGGAAGCCGCCAUGGCCCUGGAGAAGAGCCUGAACCAGGAUCUUCUGGAUCUUCAUGCUCUGGCUUCUACCCGCACAGACCCCCAUCUCUGUGACUUCCUGGAGAAUCACUUCCUAGAUGAGGAAGUGAAACUCAUCAAGAAGAUGGGUGACCACCUGACCAACUUCCGCAGGCUGGCCAGCCCCCAGGCUGGGCUGGGCGAGUAUCUCUUCGAAAGGCUCACUCUCAAACACGACUAGGAGCCUGCCAAGCCCAGCGACCUCUGAGGAGCCCCUCUCAAAGUGUCAGGGCUUCUGCCUGAGCCUCUCCCUCCAGCCACUAGGCAGCUUUUUAACCAUCCUGGAGUCCUCUCCCAAGCCUUGGACCAAAUGGAAAUAAAGCUUUUUGCAGCA